rnacentral:rRNA from 1 species
AGAGUUUGAUCCUGGCUCAGGACGAACGCUGGCGGCGUGCCUAAUACAUGCAAGUCGAGCGAAUGACGAGAAGCUUGCUUCUCUGAUUUAGCGGCGGACGGGUGAGUAACACGUGGGCAACCUGCCCUGUAGACUGGUGAUAACUUCGGGAAACCGGAGCUAAUACCGGAUAAUUCUUUUAGCCUCAUGGCUUUAAGCUAAAAGGCGCUUCGGCGUCACUACAGGAUGGGCCCGCGGUGCAUUAGCUAGUUGGUGGGGUAACGGCCUACCAAGGCAACGAUGCAUAGCCGACCUGAGAGGGUGAUCGGCCACAUUGGGACUGAGACACGGCCCAAACUCCUACGGGAGGCAGCAGUAGGGAAUCUUCCACAAUGGACGAAAGUCUGAUGGAGCAACGCCGCGUGAGUGAUGAAGGUUUUCGGAUCGUAAAACUCUGUUGUAAGGGAAGAACAAGUGUGUUAGGCAAUGAACGCUCCUUGACGGUACCUUAUUAGAAAGCCACGGCUAACUACGUGCCAGCAGCCGCGGUAAUACGUAGGUGGCAAGCGUUGUCCGGAUUUAUUGGGCGUAAAGCGCGCGCAGGUGGUUUCUUAAGUCUGAUGUGAAAGCCCACGGCUCAACCGUGGAGGGUCAUUGGAAACUGGGAGACUUGAGUGCAGAAGAGGAUAGUGGAAUUCCAAGUGUAGCGGUGAAAUGCGUAGAGAUUUGGAGGAACACCAGUGGCGAAGGCGACUGUCUGGUCUGUAACUGACACUGAGGCGCGAAAGCGUGGGGAGCAAACAGGAUUAGAUACCCUGGUAGUCCACGCCGUAAACGAUGAGUGCUAAGUGUUAGGGGGUUUCCGCCCCUUAGUGCUGCAGCU